rnacentral:lncRNA from 1 species
AUUAUCUCUGAUUUUUAUAGCCCAGAUUGUUUCAGUUUUGACCAUUAUAUAUACACAUAUUUAUAAAUAUUUCUAUACAUACUCAUAUGUAUCUGUAUUAUAAUCUAAACAUAAUUCCAUUCAGAUAACUUCAGCUUUAAUACAAUACUUCAUUUUCACUCUAAAUUACUGACUUGCUUGUUUGAUACCUUUCCCCAGCUGUGGAAAGCCUGAUUCCCACCCAUACACCACCAACUCUUAUUUGUUCAAAUAUAUUCCCACAUUCAGAAGGGUUAAGCAGCAUAUAAUCACCUGUGUUAUAAAGUAUUUUAUAAACAAAGGAACAAAUAUUUCUUAGAUUUCCUUUUGUUUUGCCUAUUAAAUUUUCAUUCAUUUUCUAAACUAAUAUAAAAACACACUUCUUUUCUCUUAAGCUCCAACAGGGUUUAUACUUUUUUUGGUGGUGAGGGGGUUGAGACAGGGUUUCUCUGUAUUGUUUUGGAGCCUCUCCUGGAACUUGCUCUGUAGACCAGGCUGGCCUUAAACUCAUAGAGAUCUUCUUACCUGUGUCUCUGUUGGAAUUAAAGAUGUGUGCCAACACUGCCCAGCCAGAGUUUAUACUUCUCACAUAGGGGUUGUUGUUGUUGUUUUUGUUGUUGUUAUUGUUGUUGUUGUUGUUUUAAGUGUUAAUUCCAUCUUGAGGUACCUUUCGGACACUAUGAGUUACCUGUUGCUGUGGAGUUACAUUCUAAAUCCAUUCUUCCACAUUUGAGUCAACUCUUCAAUGUCCAAGCAUAAUGCUUUCUUAUUUUUGCUUAAGCUACAGUCAGUUUCUGUUGCUUGCAGCCAAUGACUUCAAGUGAUGCAUUGCCAGGUGAUUGUUUCAGAUGGCCUUCAGUCACAGCACAAGAAAGAAACCAUUAAGUUGAUGGACAGGUCAGAACAUCUAAACUCAAGUCUGUGGAUAAGAAGCUAGCUAGCUCCAAGGCCAAGAUGAAAAUUAAGACUUUCAUUCUACAGAACCACUCAUGCUGAAAUUUAGUCUACAAAGCCUAGGAAAUAGAAAUGGAUAGAAGUAAGCAAACAAAACAUCUAAAAGAGUUUGCUUUCCAGAGAAAACAAAGUCUUCAGCACAAACUGCUGUAUUGCUUAAUCUAAAAGAUAAACCACAAAGUUCACAAACUACAGAACAUGUAAGCUCCAAGUCUGUGGUCCUCAGAUCCAAGUAAAGGGAAUAGGGUCAAUGCUCUGGUAAUAGUGUGAGUUGGAUUCCAGGUAGUAGGUGGUUUGGGUACCAAACUUUACAUCAGUUAAAAAUUUCUUGGACACAAAUGAUCCAUUCCAAAGCUAAGGAUACAGUUUAUAGAACUGACUGACCAGCGCAAGUUAGGAAGCAGGCAGUAACAUCCCACCUUGUCUUUCACACAAACCCCAAAUCAGCAGUCACAAGUGACUUCCUGUUGCAGUUCCUUGGGAGGACUAUACAGGUACUAUAUCUGUCUGCCCAAUCCAAUUUCUUAUAACUCUUUUUCUCUUGGAAUAAUCAGGAGAUGAGUGUUUCUAGAUCACAAUAUAUGCUUUUUGAUCACUUUCCAGACCAUAGUUGAAAAGGGACAUCACCUGAAACAAUAUGGACCAACCAUAGACUCUUAGCCAGAAAAUUACCAGCAGAAUUUGUUUGUGCUUAGAAAUUGGUGUUUGGGUGUUUGGGUAUGGUCUGCACCUAAUCUGGGGCUCAGAGUGGGCACCCUGAAGUACAGGGGUAUCUUCAAUGGGUUUUGAAGAACAAAAGAUGAACUUUUUUCUGAUAUCUUUUUUCUAAAAGCCUGAUGGUAAAACAUUUAAAUGAAUCUUGUGAUUAUAAUAAAAGGUUUCAAAUAAAUACGUCUCUUUUACUUACAUUAGUAUGAACCAGCUUAUAUCUGACUCAACACUGAAAAAGUCAUUACUUAAGUUCCCGUUACAAGGUUUAUUGUGAAUUUUAAGAAACAUGCAUGAUUAAGCUAACUUUGGAAGUCAUGCACAUUCAUCAGCUUCCAUUACUACAGAGUGUCUGUUACACUUAAGUUAGAAGAAAAAAGGGGUCAUUUCCUGGAGGUUCUACGAUAAGAGUGGGUGGAGCCAUUGCCAUGGCCCUUUGAUGGGGGAGACAGAUAACCAUGGUGGACAAAGGCAUAGCAGAGAAAAUAUUCCAACUCAUAAUCUGGGAAGGAAGGAAAAUGAGGAUGAGCUGAGGCCCAUAAUCUCCUUGGAAGCCAUGGUUACAGUAACCUAGCACUCACCUGUAAAGAUCCACAACUUUUGACAGCAUCUAGGAGACCAACCUAUAACACAGAUCUGCAUACAAACCACCACUACUAUGCUUCUUUAGUUACCUUCUUAGAUAUGCCACAACCCCAGUGUGGAUGGCACUUUGUCUUUAGCCACAGGGUAGGCUUCCUACCAUGAUGACUAUAGACUAAACCUGUGAACUUUAAGCAAGCCCCAGCUAACUGUUUUCUUUUGGAAGAGUUGCCUAGUGUCCCUUCACAGGAACAGAGCAUCGACUAAAACAGAGACAAAAGCAUGCUCAUCUCUAUGAGUUCAAGGACAGCCUGAUCUACAUAGUGAGUUCCAGAGCAGCUGGGGUUUCAUAAAGAGACACUGUCUCAAAACAACAACAACAGCAAGCAUACAGGUGGGGAUCAGGGAAAAAUAGAGCCACAAUUGAAAGUCCGCUAAAAGUUGGCCUUCUAUUUGUUUUAUCAUAGAUUGUCCGUGUUCACUGAACUUCUUAUUAAAGGAAGUAAAUUUAAAUCCAAAUCUUUUGACUAUAGAGAAAUUUCCACUUUAUUUUACUCUCUGCUUUAAAGUGACUAUAAUCAGCUGUGCAAAUAUAACUCCUUCUAUAUUCUACCAAAUGGCAAACUACACUCAAUGAAUCAGUGUUAAAUGAGGUAGAUGAAUAUUUACAUGAAGUCCAUCUUUUUAUCAUUUUCCCACUUUGUCUGCUCCUGCCCAAACACAGUAAUACAACUGGAAUCAUUCAUCUUGAAGUCAUGUAAUCCAAGCUCUGCCCAUCACUAGAUAGACCCCAAACCAUAAAUGCAUAUUUUCUGAAUCUCAGCUUUCUCAUAUUUUGAGAAAAUUAUCAUGUGGGCCAUGUAUCUCUCCCUGGGUGUAGCUAUAAGAGCUUAAGGAGAUAAGGUACCCAAAUGAUAUUCACAGUGUCCCCAGACCAGGGAAAUAUCAUGGAAUUCUAAUUCCCAUAUCAUUUUCCAAACAGCUCUUCUGUUCCAUCUCCAACUCUAAACACAACACCAUGUUCUUGACGAUAUUCAAGUAUGAUAAUAAUAUCAUAAAAAUAACAAUCCAGUGUUCUUGUGGAGGUAGAGGUGACAUGAACAGAUGGACUGACAUUCAUUAGUGCCCUAAUCCAAGUGUCAAAGUCUGGUUUUCCCAAAAGAAUGGCCAGUAUGGUCAACGCCUCCUCCCCUAGUUUACUUAAAUGCCAAAGCACCUGCUGAGUUCACCUGGGCAUUUACGAAAAACAAACUCCUGCCAAAAACAAAUCUCUCUCCUUUUGAUACACUGAAUAAGAGAUAAGCAUGAAUUAAACAUUUAUGGAGACACUUUACUGAAGUCUCAGGUAACAGGAAGUGUUUUGGGAUUUAGUUGGCAUACUUUAAGUGUACAUGAGAUGAGGGGAGACACAUAGGGAAUGUUCCUGGGAUUUUUUUCUUUCUUUCUUUCUUACAUGUCAUUCCCCUCUGUUACUUUAAUACUAUAAUUUAUUUUUAAAGAGGCAUCAUUGGAUGGCAUAACAAAAUUUUAAAUAAUUGUUUACACCCAGAUAAGCACUAUUAAAGGGAAGGAUAGUGAAUUAACUUAAAUGCAUUUGCAAAAGAUUGAUUGUCCCAAGGGAGUAUGUGUACCCUAUGUCUUUAAUUAUUCUUCAAGUUUUGCCUAUCAGCUGACAAUUUCUUACAGAAAGGAAGGCAAACAACCUGGCUCUCCUGACAGCAAAGAGUUAUAAUAACACUAGAAUGAAACCGGGAGUGUCACUCAGCUUAUCUGCUCUAAUGUUGGAGUUACUCAGCCUCAGGAAUGUGAUAUAAGUGCAUGCUAGUGAACACAGUUGCUCAGAAUAUAUUAAACCAGAAGGUAAAUUCAACGCCAAUCUUCUCCAGUUUUUAAAGACUGGAGCAUUUAUUCUUAAGUAACUGGUGUAAUGGAUUCUAUAGAAUUAGAAUUCUUUUGUUUUUUUAAAAAAGUGUAUUCUUCCCCCCGCUGGUCACUGCAUCACCUGUAACUUUAUUAGAGAUAUGUUGUCUAUGCAGGAAUAAAACUGUUUUCUUUGCAUUGGGAUGAUCACUCUUUGUGCUAAGAAAGACCUUGCUAUACCCAAAUUCUGAACCCCGAAAUCACCAAGAAACUCGAUCUGAUAUAAAAGCAAAGAGUCUUGAGGGUCUCUUGCACGUAUCACUGUGAAAAUAGGCUGUGAUGAGUCCAAUCUGUGUUUUAUGCAUAAGGUUGGCCUUGAUUCACUAUGUUAUCAUUGUUGCUGACAACAGAUUUUCUCACCAAUCCCUGAUCCAUGCAAAAACACCUUCUAUUCCUGCACCACUGGUGUGUCACCAGCCUCAUAGCGUCCUUCUUUCUUAGCGUAUCUCCUCUUUGGAGACAAUGGUUUCUUUAACACUUACCAUAGUUCAGGGAUUCCAGCACCUGGUUUUGCCCAAACAUAAUAUAAACUGCCUUGGUUUGAGAGACAUAAUGUUUGAAUAUUUUGGUUUCAUGAAGCUCAAGUAUGCAUUGAUUAUGUCAAAUUUUACAUUAGACAUAUUUGCCAGAGUAGUAAUUAUCUGUAGCUUUUAUUCCUCGGUGGCACAACGGCUCUCUUCCCAGAGGACCCAGCUUCAUCUUUUCAAUAGAGCCAUUCUCUUAUCUUUAUAUGCCAAAAGCACAGGCUUUCUAAGCUAAUUAAUAUAUGCAAAAUCAACUUGACCAUUAUGCCCUUUCCUUCCUCCUUCAAGAGGUAAAGCAGAAUGACCUUCACCUUGGAUCUCUGUGGGAUUACCAUGCACUUGGAACCCUUCAAAUGUAGUAGAUGUCAGACUUGGCAAAUUGUGACAUUCAGUACUACAGGCAACCAGUCUUCAUUCUUAAUCUUUUAAAUGCUUAUCUUUGAUACCUGAACAGCAAGUUGAGAAGUCCUUCUCUGAGCCAACAUGUGGUGAGGAAGCCCACAGCAACCUAAAAAGAAAGAGAAUGGAGAUCAUAUCAAAGGAGUAACCGUCAGUUCUUGGCUGCUCCCACUGUCUGGUUGUGACUGUGUAAGAUCCUGAACCAGAACUAAAACCAACACACACACACACACACAGAGAGAGAGAGAGAGAGAGAGAGAGAGAGAGAGAGAGAGAGAGAGAGAGCGCAAACAUAACCUUUGAGCCACACAUGUUUAUGAAACAACAGAUUCAGGAGCUCCAGUGGUGCAAUGGUUCCAGAGGGAUAGGAGUCCAUUGUGUUGGAGAAGCAUGGUAGCAAGCAGCAGGAAGUGGGAAGCUGAGAGUUUCAAACUCGAGCACAAAUAGCAUGUAUCUGUUUGAAGCCACAGCUCUCCCUCUCUGAGUCUGAAGGUCCAGCCCAUGUCUUUUUCCAGGGGAUUUAAUGGAGUGGAUAUAGGGAGAUAAUUGUGCUCCAAUGUUGUGAAUACUCUAGAAAUGAAAGGGCUUCUAGACAGAGAUUUUGCACUUUUCUUCCUCGUCAGAAAUCCCCAUGUCUCAUUUUAUAAAUUAACAACUUGGCAUGAUACAUUUAAUUGCAAUUUCUUCCUCGGCCUAUGUAAAGUUCAAUCUGAAACAAUUUCAGAGCAUUUCAUUUUAAUGACUGAAAUGUGUAUUCAAUUCCUAUAAAAAUCCAGAGCUCUAUUCCAAAUGCAGUUGACAUUCUCCAGCACAUCAUUUAAAUUUCUCUUAGUAAUUUCCUGCCUUCUGUGAGACAGUGAUAUUCUACAGCCUCAAGGCAUUUUGCAUAUUUUGUGGAUUUUAACAUUUCAAGUCCUGGUGGUUUUUACACUCUCAUUAUGCCCUUGUUCAUAUCCCAUAUUUCCCUUCAUUUCUCUCUAGGAAACAAUGGAAAACUAAACAAUUUGCAUGCUUUUAAGAAGCAUUUUCUCUGAGACAGGAAUAAGUGAGGAUUUGAGACAAAAGUAAAGAAGAAGAUAUUUGGAGUGAAAAAAGUAUUGUACUCAUGGCAGGUGAAGGACAAUGCCACAGAAUUGCUUUUCUGCUCCAAAGUCCUGGAAAUAGGUGGAGAAUCACAUUCACAUAGACUAAAUACAUUUACAAACCCUCUAUAGUAUUUGAAAUCUCUCAGGUAGGAGAAUAGGAGAGAAAUCAUUCUAAAUAUGUUACCUUUCCAAAUAUAAACUCUGUGGAAGGGCGGAAAAAUACUUGAGUGAAAAAAGAGAGAAAAGAAUGAUCUAACCCAAAGUCAAAACUGGGAGCCAUUGUGUAGAGCAACUCCAGUAGAGCGGAAUUUCAAUGCAGCACAGUGAAAAAGAAGGGCUCUUCAUGUCUACUUUUACAACUGGAAAAUAAGUAUUUUUCUCACAUAUUAUUGUAUUUAACAUCAAAUAUCUAGACUAUGAAACAUAGCCCUAGAUGUUUAAAUUUUAUAAAAGUGAUAUUCCCAAUAGAUAUUUUUAUUUUCAGCUUUUAAUCUUUGAUUUCUUCUUAAUCAGUAUGUUGAAGCCUCCAUAUAUAUAUAUAUAUAUAUAUAUAUAUAUAUAUAUAUAUAUCCAUCUUCAUAACCAAUAACUACCAGGAAAUAACAGUCACAGUGGUUGAUAAAUGAACACACUUUGCACUAAGAUUUGAGGGUCUAUCUCUUGUGAAUUCAGGUGAAAUCUCUAUGAACUAUUAGAAAAAUCUGAAUUACUAUCUAGUUUUUGUAACCACGAUUUAAAAAAGCAAGAGUUUCUAUUUUCUUUAAGUGAUUGUUCUUGGAGAAGGAAGUCAGUACAGUACAGGGAAGUUAAGGACUCUGAGUUUAACACACAGGAAACCCAAAGUAGUCACUUGCACAGGCCAUAAGAAGAGGGUGACCAGAUAGACCCUGUGACAUACCUACGGGUGAAGAUGCUUCCCAGUCAUUCUCAGUCAUUGGCCGCCUAUCUCUAACACAUAAAUGACUGUUUAACCAGUUUUCCCCAGUAUUAUUAAAUAUGAUAACUUUAAGGAAUUCAACUUAAAGGAGAAUGGUUUCUUUUGACUGUGCUUCCCAAGUUUCAGGCUAUGAUCCACUUGCUUCCUUGCUUUUAGGCCUGUGCAAGGGCAUAAACAUCAGAGCAGAUGGUAGAAGAAAGUUGUUCACCUAAUGGUAGCUAGAAAGAAGAGAAAGAGAUAUCUUGGGGGGAGGAAGCUCUGGAGACAAGAUAGAGCCUUCAAAGGUACACACACCCCAGUCCAUCCAACAAGCCCACUUCCUAAACAGUCCAUCCUGCUAUGAAUUCAUCAGUGGAGUUACUGCCCUAUUAAUGCUAGAGCCUAUCUGUAACAAUAAGUCUUUACUCCAUCCACCCGAGCCCUGCCGCCACUUGGGUGGCCAGAAUAACAUACAGAGUCUUAUAUUAGUUUACAAUGCAGCUGGCCAAUUGACUAGGAUUUCUUAUGUGCUAGCUCAGUCUUAAUUAUCAUAAAUCUAUAUACUUUAUAAGACUUAUCUUAUUGAGGACACCUUCCGUUAGUAUCCUCUUCCCAGGAUCACAUGGCGGCUCCAGGGCAGAGAGCAGGAGGAAGAGGAAGAACAAAACAGAGAUUUCC